ACGAACGCUGGCGGCGUGCUUAACACAUGCAAGUCGCACGCUGAAGCUCAGCUUUUGUUGGGUGGAUGAGUGGCGAACGGGUGAGUAACACGUGAGUAACCUGCCCCCUUCUUUGGGAUAACGCCCGGAAACGGGUGCUAAUACUGGAUAUUCACUGGUCUUCGCAUGGGGGUUGGUGGAAAGGGUUUUUCUGGUGGGGGAUGGGCUCGCGGCCUAUCAGCUUGUUGGUGGGGUGAUGGCCUACCAAGGCUUUGACGGGUAGCCGGCCUGAGAGGGUGACCGGUCACAUUGGGACUGAGAUACGGCCCAGACUCCUACGGGAGGCAGCAGUGGGGAAUAUUGCACAAUGGGCGCAAGCCUGAUGCAGCGACGCCGCGUGAGGGAUGGAGGCCUUCGGGUUGUGAACCUCUUUCGCUCAUGGUCAAGCCGCAACAAUGGUUGUGGUGAGGGUAGUGGGUAAAGAAGCGCCGGCUAACUACGUG
rnacentral:rRNA from 1 species